CUGCCUGACCUGCUGAGCGAUUCCAGCAUCUUCUGGUUUUUUUCCCCCAGAGAGGUGUUUAGAUUAUGGCAAGUAUUCUGCUGUUCUGGGUCUCGAGGUUCACAGGAUGUUUGUGACUUCUCUGUGCAGCAACUACCCUAUGGGUCAGAUAUAGAAGGUUGGACAUACACUACAAAGGCUGCUGCUGCUAAUGGAACUGCUGUCUGCUGUGAUGCAUCCUGUGAAGAUGGGUCUCCACGCGACUCACCGCACCGGCAUGGAACCGGCUCCCGACAUCGCGAAACGUCGUCGGAGGCCCCGAUCCAAGAUGGCGCGGGGCCCUCCUUCUUCCCCAUCGUCGGGCUAGGAAAGCCCGCACGCAGGAAGGUCAGGUGACCCGCACAUGACGUCAGCGCGGGAACUGUAGUGUGGGAAGUUUUCGGAUAUUAAAG